rnacentral:rRNA from 1 species
GACGAACGCUGGCGGCGCACUUAACACAUGCAAGUCGAACGGAAAGGCCUGCUUUCCCUUGUGGAUUGCGGGUACUCGAGUGGCGAACGGGUGAGUAACACGUGAGUGAUCUGCCCCCAACUUGGGUAUAAGCCUGGGAAACUGGGUCUAAUUCCCGAUAGGACUGCAGGGUGGUGCCUGUGGUGGAAAACGAUUUUCUAGUGGUUGGGGAUGAGCUCGCGGCCUAUCAGCUUGUUGGUGGGGUAAUGGCCUACCAAGGCGGCGACGGGUAGCCGGCCUGAGAGGGUGGACGGCCACAUUGGGACUGAGAUACGGCCCAGACUCCUACGGGAGGCAGCAGUGGGGAAUAUUGCACAAUGGGCGGAAGCCUGAUGCAGCGACGCCGCGUGGGGGAUGACGGCCUUCGGGUUAUAAACUCCUUUCGACCGCGAGGAAGCCACCUGGUUGGAAGGGUGGUGACGGUAGUGGUAGAAGAAGCACCGGCUAACUACGUG